CGAGCGGAUCUUCAUUAGCUUGCUUUUGAAGAUCAGCGGCGGACGGGUGAGUAACACGUGGGCAACCUGCCUGUAAGACUGGGAUAACUUCGGGAAACCGGAGCUAAUACCGGAUAAUCCUUUCCCUCACAUGAGGGAAAGCUGAAAGACGGUUUCGGCUGUCACUUACAGAUGGGCCCGCGGCGCAUUAGCUAGUUGGUGAGGUAACGGCUCACCAAGGCAACGAUGCGUAGCCGACCUGAGAGGGUGAUCGGCCACACUGGGACUGAGACACGGCCCAGACUCCUACGGGAGGCAGCAGUAGGGAAUCUUCCGCAAUGGACGAAAGUCUGACGGAGCAACGCCGCGUGAACGAUGAAGGCCUUCGGGUCGUAAAGUUCUGUUGUCAGAGAAGAACAAGUACCGGAGUAACUGCCGGUACCUUGACGGUACCUGACCAGAAAGCCACGGCUAACUACGUGCCAGCAGCCGCGGUAAUACGUAGGUGGCAAGCGUUGUCCGGGAAUUAUUGGGCGUAAAGCGCGCGCAGGCGGUUCCUUUAAGUCUGAUGUGAAAGCCCCCGGCUCAACCGGGGAGGGUCAUUGGAAACUGGGGAACUUGAGUGCAGAAGAGGAGAGCGGAAUUCCACGUGUAGCGGUGAAAUGCGUAGAGAUGUGGAGGAACACCAGUGGCGAAGGCGGCUCUCUGGUCUGUAACUGACGCUGAGGCGCGAAAGCGUGGGGAGCGAACAGGAUUAGAUACCCUGGUAGUCCACGCCGUAAACGAUGAGUGCUAAGUGUUAGAGGGUUUCCGCCCUUUAGUGCUGCAGCAAACGCAUUAAGCACUCCGCCUGGGGAGUACGGCCGCAAGGCUGAAACUCAAAGGAAUUGACGGGGGGCCCGCACAAGCGGUGGAGCAUGUGGUUUAAUUCGAAGCAACGCGAAGAACCUUACCAGGUCUUGACAUCCUCUGACAACCCUAGAGAUAGGGCGUUCCCCUUCGGGGGACAGAGUGACAGGUGGUGCAUGGUUGUCGUCAGCUCGUGUCGUGAGAUGUUGGGUUAAGUCCCGGCAACGAGCGCAACCCUUGAUCUUAGUUGCCAGCAUUCAGUUGGGCACUCUAAGGUGACUGCCGGUGACAAACCGGAGGAAGGUGGGGAUGACGUCAAAUCAUCAUGCCCCUUAUGACCUGGGCUACACACGUGCUACAAUGGAUGGAACAAAGGGCCGCAAAACCGCGAGGUCGAGCCAAUCCCAUAAAUCCAUUCUCAGUUCGGAUUGCAGGCUGCAACUCGCCUGCAUGAAGCCGGAAUCGCUAGUAAUCGCGGAUCAGCAUGCCGCGGUGAAUACGUUCCCGGGCCUUGUACACACCGCCCGUCACACCACGAGAGUUUGUAACACCCGAAGUCGGUGGGGUAACCUUUUGG
rnacentral:rRNA from 2 species